rnacentral:rRNA from 1 species
AUUGAACGCUGGCGGCAGGCCUAACACAUGCAAGUCGAGCGGAUGAAGGGAGCUUGCUCCUGGAUUCAGCGGCGGACGGGUGAGUAAUGCCUAGGAAUCUGCCUGGUAGUGGGGGAUAACGUCCGGAAACGGGCGCUAAUACCGCAUACGUCCUGAGGGAGAAAGUGGGGGAUCUUCGGACCUCACGCUAUCAGAUGAGCCUAGGUCGGAUUAGCUAGUUGGUGGGGUAAAGGCCUACCAAGGCGACGAUCCGUAACUGGUCUGAGAGGAUGAUCAGUCACCCCGGAACUGAGACCCGGUUCCGACCCCUACGGGGGGCCCCAGGGGGGAAUAUUGGGCAAUGGGGGAAAGCCUUAUCCCGCCCUGCCCGGGUGUGUAAGAAGGGCUUUGGAUUGUAAAGCACUUUAAGUUGGGAGGAAGGGCAGUAAGUUAAUACCUUGCUGUCUUGACGUUACCAACAGAAUAAGCACCGGCUAACUUCAUG